GAUGAACGCUGGCGGCGUGCCUAAUACAUGCAAGUCGAGCGAACGGACGAGAAGCUUGCUUCUCUGAUGUUAGCGGCGGACGGGUGAGUAACACGUGGAUAACCUACCUAUAAGACUGGGAUAACUUCGGGAAACCGUAGCUAAUACCGGAUAAUAUUUUGAACCGCAUGGUUCAAAAGUGAAAGACGGUCUUGCUGUCACUUAUAGAUGGAUCCGCGCUGCAUUAGCUAGUUGGUAAGGUAACGGCUUACCAAGGCAACGAUGCAUAGCCGACCGGAGAGGGUGAUCGGCCACACUGGAGCUGGGACACGGUCCUGAGUCCUACGGGAGGCAGCAGUAGGGAAUCUUCCGCAAUGGGCGAAGGCCUGACGGAGCAACGCCGCGUGAGUGAUGGAGGUCUUCGGAUCGUAAAACUCUGUUAUUAGGGAAGAACAUAUGUGUAAGUAACUGUGCACAUCUUGACGGUACCUAAUCAGAAAGCCACGGCUAACUACGUG
rnacentral:rRNA from 1 species